CAGCCUUUGGAUGAAGAUGUAGAACUCUCAGCUCUGCCUGUGCCAUGCCUGCCUGGAUGCUGCUGUGCUCUCACCUUGAUGACAAUGGACUGAACCUCUGACUGAACCUGUCUUUAACUGACUGCGUGAGACCCACCCACAUUGGGAGGUAAUCUGCUGUACUCAUACUGUCUAUUCAAGUGUUAAGCACAUUCAGAAACAGUUUCAUGGGCACACCAAGGAUAAUGUUUAACCAAAUAUCUGGAUACCCGCCACUCCAUGGAGAUGAGACAUAACAUGGCUUACCACAGUGGGUGAUGGUUCCUCUCUUGAGGUUUGAGUGCUGUUUCCCCCAUGAUCCAACUCAAAGUCUUCACUGCAUUCUGCAAGGAGUGCAGUUCAUAAACAGUGUUGUGCGUCUCUCAAGUUGCACACCAGCAGGUCAAUUUGAAGAUUGACAUCUUCAUCAUAUUGAUCUUCUGGUCCAUGAAGACUGGCCUAUGUGUGACUUUGCCUACGGUUUCUUGACUCUGGCUGGCUGGCAUUUUAUACUCUCCAGUCUGUAGCUGCUGAAGUACCUGUAUUAAAUGUAAUCUUAGGUGUUGGCUUGAGACUACGAUUAACCCAUUAUUUAUAAAAUAUGGAGAUCUCUUGGGUGUGUGCACCGAUCAUGCCCCCUAUAAAUACUGACUGCUCCAUUUCAUGCUUCUCAGUCCGUUCAGCCUUUAUUCCUGUUGAAUAGUUUGGUGCAUUGAUCCUAUCGGACGGCCAGUCCAUCUUUGGCUGCACAGGAGGGGAGAACAGAGUCCCAUACUGUGGUACAUUCCGCACUGCUGAGAUGCUCUGAUUAUUCCAUGCACAUUAUUGGACAUUUGAGUGACGUUGAGUCAUUUCAACCUAAUGAACUGAUUGGAAGCUGACUCGCCCCGAGACCUGCUCUCUUCCCAUGCGCCUGUUGGGUAACCACCAGAGAAGACUGCUCAGGCAUGAAUGUUCCAACAGAUGUCUUCUUUGCAUCUUUCCAGCUGUUCCGGGAGUCUUGGAUAGACCCCCCUACCAGCCAUUUGGUUCCCAAAGCCUCAUUUCGUUGGAACAUUCCAUUCCCUGUAGCAAUCGUCCUUUGUUUGUUGCGGCAUAACAAAUUACUUCACGAAUUUGAGGUUUAAAAACAACUAUUUAUUAUUUCUCAUGACUCUGCGGGUUGACUUGGCCUGUUUCCUGCUUUACAUUCGGCAUCUGUCGGGCAGAAAGAGUUGAGUCUCCAACACUGGCUCGCAUACAUGCCCCAUGCCUGGGUUGGGGGUGGCAGAAGAGGUGGCCUCCGCUGGGCUGCUGGCACACUUGGCCGUUCUCCCUGCUGCAUGCAGACCUAGGCCACCUCCUUCCCACAGCUCCUCCCUUCAUGGUGGCUCCAGUGUAAAUGGUGCUUUCGUUCCCAUGGCCCGCUGCUUCCCUGUGAGGCUUUCUUCGGUCCAUUGUCUCUUGGCCACCAAUAAAAGAAGCAACAGGCAAAGAAUGGGGCCUCAGAGACCUUUCCCGUCUCUGCUUUAGAUGUCCUCUAUGGUGUUUUGAAAACAGCUUGCAUCUUUCUCAGUGACUGAUAUUGGAGACAUUUUUGGUAGUCUUACCACUUCCUGAAGUGGGUGAGCAAAGGUGACAGGAGAGGGAAUGGGGAUGUAUGUGGGUGAAUUUGUUCAGAACUCUAAGAAAAGUGUUGAGGGCUUGGUUAUGAUUAGCAACUGCAUGAUACUUUUGGUAUUAUUGCUCUCCUUUUAGAUCUAAAAAUGUCAUCUGCUUACACAUCUUACUUUAAAAUUGAUAAAUCCCUUUAUCUUUAGCUUCCUAACAUGCCCUAAAGAUUGAAGAAAUAUUUUCAUUUUUAUUCAAUAAAUAAUAUUUCCCAAA
rnacentral:lncRNA from 1 species